rnacentral:pre_miRNA from 1 species
CCCAAUAUGCUGCCUUUAUCUGCAUUUGCACCUGCACUUUACUUGUGUUUCUCUCUGAUAAUAACCUAGUCAUGUUGUUAUUAAUUACAUGCUAUGUAUGAGACCAAGAACAAGGUGCAGGUGUAUCUGCAGGUGAACAUCAUCUUGGC